rnacentral:rRNA from 1 species
AUUGAACGCUGGCGGCAUGCUUUACACAUGCAAGUCGAACGGCAGCGCGGGCUUCGGCCUGGCGGCGAGUGGCGAACGGGUGAGUAAUACAUCGGAACGUGCCCAGUAGUUGGGGAUAGCUCGGCGAAAGCCGGAUUAAUACCGCAUACGACCUGAGGGUGAAAGCGGGGGAUCUUCGGACCUUGCGCUAUUGGACCGGCCGAUGGCAGAUUAGCUAGUUGGUGGGGUAAAGGCCUACCAAGGCGACGAUCCGUAGCUGGUCUGAGAGGACGACCAGCCACACUGGAACUGAGACACGGCCCAGACUCCUACGGGAGGCAGCAGUGGGGAAUUUUGGACAAUGGGCGAAAGCCUGAUCCAGCAAUGCCGCGUGUGUGAUGAAGGCCUUCGGGUUGUAAAGCACUUUUGGCGGGAACGAAAAGGACUGGGCCAAUACCACGGUUCGAUGACGGUACCCGCAGAAUAAGCACCGGCUAACUACGUG